rnacentral:rRNA from 1 species
GCUCUUUUACCAGGGAAUGAUAAUGACAGUACCUGGAGAAUAAGCUCCGGCUAACUCCGUGCCAGCAGCCGCGGUAAUACUGAGGGAGCUAGCGUUGUUCGGAAUUACUGGGCGUAAAGCGCACGUANGCGGUUACUCAAGUCAGAGGUGAAAGCCCGGGGCUCAACCCCGGAACUGCCUUUGAAACUAGGUAGCUAGAAUCCUGGAGAGGUGAGUGGAAUUCCGAGUGUAGAGGUGAAAUUCGUAUAUAUUCGGAAGAACACCAGUGGCGAAGGCGGCUCACUGGACAGGUAUUGACGCUGA